CGUAGGGUCCGAGCGUUGUCCGGAAUUAUUGGGCGUAAAGGGCUCGUAGGCGGUCCGUCACGUCGGGAGUGAAAACUCAAGGCUCAACCUUGAGCGUGCUUCCGAUACGGGCGGACUAGAGGUAUGCAGGGGAGAACGGAAUUCCUGGUGUAGCGGUGGAAUGCGCAGAUAUCAGGAGGAACACCGGUGGCGAAGGCGGUUCUCUGGGCUUUACCUGACGCUGAGGAGCGAAAGCAUGGGGAGCGAACAGGAUUAGAUACCCUGGUAGUCCAUGCCGUAAACGUUGGGCGCUAGGUGUGGGGACCUACCACGGUCUCCGUGCCGCAGCUAACGCAUUAAGCGCCCCGCCUGGGGAGUACGGCCGCAAGGCUA
rnacentral:rRNA from 1 species